rnacentral:rRNA from 1 species
UACAGAGGUCUCGAGCGUUGUUCGGAUUCAUUGGGCGUAAAGGGUGCGUAGGCGGCGGGGUAAGUCUGAUGUGAAAUCCCGGGGCUCAACCCCGGAACUGCAUUGGAUACUGCUCUGCUUGAGUACUGGAGAGGAGACUGGAAUUUACGGUGUAGCAGUGAAACGCGUAGAUAUCGUAAGGAAGACCAGUGGCGAAGGCGAGUCUCUGGACAGUUACUGACGCUGAGGCACGAAGGCUAGGGGAGCAAACGGG